rnacentral:rRNA from 1 species
AGUGAACGCUGGCGGUAGGCCUAACACAUGCAAGUCGAACGGCAGCACAGUAAGAGCUUGCUCUUACGGGUGGCGAGUGGCGGACGGGUGAGGAAUACAUCGGAAUCUACUUUUUCGUGGGGGAUAACGUAGGGAAACUACGCUAAUACCGCAUACGACCUACGGGUGAAAGCAGGGGAUCUUCGGACCUUGCGCGAUUGAAUGAGCCGAUGUCGGAUUAGCUAGUUGGCGGGGUAAAGGCCCACCAAGGCGACGAUCCGUAGCUGGUCUGAGAGGAUGAUCAGCCACACUGGAACUGAGACACGGUCCAGACUCCUACGGGAGGCAGCAGUGGGGAAUAUUGGACAAUGGGCGCAAGCCUGAUCCAGCCAUACCGCGUGGGUGAAGAAGGCCUUCGGGUUGAAAAGCCCUUUUGUUGGGAAAGAAAAGCAGCAGGUUAAUACCCCGCUGUUCUGACGGUACCCAAAGAAUAAGCACCGGCUAACUUCGUG